UUUGUCACAGGAUAGGGGUGUCGCUGGCUUGGCCACUAUUAAUUGUCCACUUCUAAGUGCAUGGGGGGAAGUUGGUAGUGAUGUGUCUCCUUAAAAUACUGCACUCCUUGAUGUGUAGGGACACCCACUGUGUUCCUUAGGAGGCUUUCCAGGAUUUUGACACAGCAACACCUAAUGAUGGAGAGAGGGUCAUCGAUGAAGCAGCUUUGGACACUACCCGAAAGAACUCCUGCAGGACAGUCUUAGAGGUAUGAUGACCGAAGUGCAGCAAUUGCAAUCACCUUCCUUUGUAUGAGUAUGACUACAGUCAGCAGAAAAUUUUCCUCCUGAUUGACAUUGACCAGAGUUUUGGUAAUGCUACUUGACAGCACACCUGUUCAAAUGUAACCUUGAUGUCAAGGGCAGACAUUCAGACCUCACCUCCUGGAAUUCAGUGCUUUUGUCCAUUUUUUUGAAUUAAGGUGUUACUGAGGUCUGGAGCUGAGUCAAACUACAGUCAAAAGGAAGUGUUGUUUCAUAUGUUCCUCCAGUAAUUGGGAUUUACAGCCUAUAUAGCUGGCAUCAUACCAGCACUGCAACUCAUACACCACAUUACUUAUUUAUAUGUGGGCAGAAUGUCUUUCUGGCUUAUCUCCUUCAUAGGCAGAAGGAUUUUAUUACAACAACUCUCAGUACAAUGAAAAUAUGACUACGCUAGCGUCAAAUAAAAAUAGCGAAUUAUAGAAAAACUGUGUCUGGCUUUGUGGAAGGAGAAAUACUUGCCACUUCUGUUUGAUCUUUCUUCACAGUUAUUUUUAUAUAUUUAUGGAAUUGCUCCACAUUGAGCAAGAUGAAAUCUUUGCCAGGCAAGCGCUAAGACUUCUGAUGUCACUGACUCUGAAAAUUGUAUGUUCCUCUUUUGUUUUGUGUUUGUAAUUUCAAUUGUUGUUUUAAAAUAAACUCGUCAUUACCUUU